GAUGAAGAACGCAGCGAAAUGCGAUAAGUAAUGUGAAUUGCAGAAUUCAGUGAAUCAUCGAAUCUUUGAACGCACAUUGCGCCCGUCAGUAUUCUGGCGGGCAUGCCUGUUCGUGCGUCAUUACGCCCCUCAAGUCCCCUGUGGACUUGGUGUUGGGGAUCGGCGAGGCUGGUUUUCCAGCACAGCCGUCCCUUAAAUUAAUUGGCGGUCUCGCCGUGGCCCUCCUCUGCGCAGUAGUAAAACACUCGCAACAGGAGCCCGGCGCGGUCCACUGCCGUAAAACCCCCCAACUUUUUAUAGUUGACCUCGAAUCAGGUAGGACUACCCGCUGAACUUAAGCAUAUCAAUAAGCGGAGGA
rnacentral:misc_RNA from 1 species